AUUGAACGCUGGCGGCAUGCUUUACACAUGCAAGUCGAACGGUAACAGGCCUUCGGGUGCUGACGAGUGGCGAACGGGUGAGUAAUGCAUCGGAACGUGCCCAGAGGUGGGGGAUAACGCAGCGAAAGCUGUGCUAAUACCGCAUGUGAUCUGAGGAUGAAAGCGGGGGACCAGGCAGCAAUGUUUGGCCUCGCGCCUUUGGAGCCGCCGAUGUCAGAUUAGGUAGUUGGUGGGGUAAAGGCCUACCAAGCCGACGAUCUGUAGCUGGUCUGAGAGGACGACCAGCCACACUGGGACUGAGACACGGCCCAGACUCCUACGGGAGGCAGCAGUGGGGAAUGUUGGACAAUGGGCGCAAGCCUGAUCCAGCAAUGCCGCGUGCGGGAAGAAGGCCUUCGGGUUGUAAACCGCUUUUGUACGGAACGAAAAGGCUCUGGCUAAUACCUGGGGCUGAUGACGGUACCGUAAGAAUAAGCACCGGCUAACUACGUG
rnacentral:rRNA from 1 species